ACCUUCAAAUAAAGUGAUACCAAAAGUCUUAACAUGAAUCCAACAUAUUAUAAGCAAAUAUAAAUCCCCACUGGUUACUGGCCCAUAGGUAAGAUAGGCACUACGGCCAUCC